GAUGAACGCUGGCAGCGUGCUUAACACAUGCAAGUCGAACGGUGAACGAGGGAGCUUGCUCCCUCCGGAUCAGUGGCGAACGGGUGAGUAACACGUGAGCAAUCUGCCCUGGACUCUGGGAUAAGCGUUGGAAACGACGUCUAAUACCGGAUACGAGGCGUGGGGGCAUCCCCAACGCCUGGAAAGAACUUCGGUCCAGGAUGAGCUCGCGGCCUAUCAGCUAGUUGGUGAGGUAACGGCUCACCAAGGCGACGACGGGUAGCCGGCCUGAGAGGGUGACCGGCCACACUGGGACUGAGACACGGCCCAGACUCCUACGGGAGGCAGCAGUGGGGAAUGUUGCACAAUGGGCGCAAGCCUGAUGCAGCAACGCCGCGUGAGGGACGACGGCCUUCGGGUUGUAAACCUCUUUUAGCAGGGAAGAAGCGAAAGUGACGGUACCUGCAGAAAAAGCACCGGCUAACUACGUGCCAGCAGCCGCCGUAACAC
rnacentral:rRNA from 1 species